GACGAACGCUGGCGGCGUGCUUAACACAUGCAAGUCGAACGGAAAGGCCCUGCUUUUGUGGGGUGCUCGAGUGGCGAACGGGUGAGUAACACGUGAGUAACCUGCCCUUGACUUUGGGAUAACUUCAGGAAACUGGGGCUAAUACCGGAUAGGAGCUCCUGCUGCAUGGUGGGGGGUGGAAAGUUUCGGCGGUUGGGGAUGGACUCGCGGCUUAUCAGCUUGUUGGUGGGGUAGUGGCUUACCAAGGCUUUGACGGGUAGCCGGCCUGAGAGGGUGACCGGCCACAUUGGGACUGCGAUACGGCCCAGACUCCUACGGGAGGCAGCAGUGGGGAAUAUUGCACAAUGGGCGGAAGCCUGAUGCAGCAACGCCGCGUGCGGGAUGCCGGCCUUCGGGUUGUAAACCGCUUUCGCCUGUGACGAAGCGUGAGUGACGGUAAUGGGUAAAGAAGCACCGGCUAACUACGUG
rnacentral:rRNA from 1 species